rnacentral:rRNA from 1 species
CAGCCGCCGCGGUAAUACCGGCGGCCCGAGUGGUGGCCGCUAUUAUUGGGCCUAAAGCGUCCGUAGCCGGGCCCGUAAGUCCCUGGCGAAAUCCCACGGCUCAACCGUGGGGCUUGCUGGGGAUACUGCGGGCCUUGGGACCGGGAGAGGCGGGGGGGGCCCCUGGGGGAGGGGGGGAAUCCUAUAAUCCCAGGGGGCCCGCCAGUGGCGAAGGCGCCCCGCUGGAACGGGUCCGACGGUGAGGGACGAAGGCCAGGGGAGCAAACCGGAUUAGAUACCCGGGUAGUCCUGGCUGUAAAGGAUGCGGGCUAGGUGUCGGGUGAGCUUCGAGCUCGCCCGGUGCCGUAGGGAAGCCGUUAAGCCCGCCGCCUGGGGAGUACGGCCGCAAGGCUGAAACUUAAAGGAAUUGGCGGG